rnacentral:rRNA from 2 species
AAGUCGUAACAAGGUUUCCGUAGGUGAACCUGCGGAAGGAUCAUUAUUGGAAAAAAAAAACCUAAUUCAAGUUUUUUUUUGGAUAUCCCAUUGUUUAUCUACCCUGUUGCUUCUACUGGACUUGUUUUAUCUUUUAGGUGAAACCUCAGGCUUGUGUGAACCACACUUGUCAGAGAGCUGCCAGUAGCAAGACCACUAACUAAAACUUGCCUUGAAAUAUAUUAUAGUCUGAAUUUUUUGUCUUGAAUGAAAUAAAACUUUCAACAACGGAUCUCUAGGCUCUUGCAUCGAUGAAGAACGCAGUGAAAUGCGAUAAGUAAUGUGAAUUGCAGAAUCUCGUGAAUCAUUGAAUCUUUGAACGCACAUUGCGCCCUAUGGUAUUCCAUAGGGCAUACCUGUUUGAGCGUCAGCUCCCCACACUCUCAAGCACUAUUUUGUAGUGCUUGGAUUUGUUUGGAGAGGCACCUCUUUUUUGUAGAGGUACCCUUCAGAAAUAUAUAGGGCAGUAUGGUUUAUAUCUGAACUAGGCGUAAUAAUGAUAAAGUCGCUGAAUUCACCAUGAUUGUAUUUGCCUUAACCCACCCAUUGU